GACAGAGGGUGCAAACGUUGCUCGGAAUCACUGGGCGUAAAGGGCGUGUAGGCGGGAAGGAAAGUCGGGCGUGAAAUCCCUGGGCUCAACCCAGGAACUGCACUCGAAACUUCUUUUCUUGAGUGCCGGAGAGGAAAGCGGAAUUCCUGGUGUAGAGGUGAAAUUCGUAGAUAUUCGCAAGAACACCAGUGGCGAAGGCGGCUCACUGGCCCGAUACUGACGCUGAGGUGCGAAAGCGUGGGGAGCAAACAGG
rnacentral:rRNA from 1 species